rnacentral:rRNA from 1 species
CGACUUCCAACAAUGGAUAUCUCGGCUCCCACUUCGAUGAAGAACGCAGCGAAAUGCGAAACGUAAUGCGAAUCGCAGAUAGCCGUGAGUCAUCGAAUCUUUGAAUGCAUCCUGGACCUCGGGAAACUCUUCGGAGUAACCCCAGGUACACUCGGAUGAGUGUGUGUU